CGUGAGUAACCUACGCUUGUACACAGGGAUAGCCUCGGGAAACCGGGAUUAAUACCAGAUAACAUUAUCAGAUCGCAUGAGAAGAUAAUCAAAGCUGAGGCGGUCAAAGAUGGACUCGCGUCCCAUUAGCUAGUUGGUAGAGUAAUAGCCUACCAAGGCAACGAUGGGUAGCCGGCCUGAGAGGGUGAACGGCCACAUUGGAACUGAGAAACGGUCCAAACUCCUACGGGAGGCAGCAGGC
rnacentral:rRNA from 1 species